rnacentral:rRNA from 1 species
UACAGAGGGCCCAAGCGUUGUUCGGAUUCACUGGGCGUAAAGGGUGCGUAGGUGGUGAGGUAAGUUCGAUGUGAAAUCUCCGGGCUCAACCCGGAAAUGGCAUUGAAUACUAUCUCGCUUGAGAGUCGGAGGGGGGACUGGAAUACUUGGUGUAGCAGUGAAAUGCGUAGAUAUCAAGUGGAACACCAGUGGCGAAGGCGAGUCCCUGGACGACUUCUGACACUGAGGCACGAAAGCUAGGGGAGCAAACAGG